AACGAACGCUGGCGGCAUGCCUAACACAUGCAAGUCGAACGAGACCUUCGGGUCUAGUGGCGCCUGGUUUCGUAACGCGUGGGAACCUGCCCUUGGGUUCGGAAUAACUCCCCGAAAGGGGUGCUAAUACCGGAUAAUGUCUUCUGCCCAAAGAUUUUUCGCGUUUGGAGGGUCCCGCGUUGGAUUAGCUAGUUGGUAGGGUAAAAGCCUACCAAGGCGACGAUCCAUAGAUGGUUUGAGAGGAUGCUCAGCCACACUGAGACUGAGACACGGCCCAGACUCCUACGGGAGGCAGCAGUGGGGAAUAUAGGAAAGUGGGCGAAAGCCUGAUCCAGCAAUGCCGCGUGAGUGAUGAAGGCCUUAGGGUUGUAAAGCUCUUUUACCCGUGAUGAUAAUGACAGUACCGGAAGAAUAAGCUCCGGCUAACUCCGUG
rnacentral:rRNA from 1 species